rnacentral:lncRNA from 1 species
CAGGCAUCACCGUGCAUUAUUCAGAGCCGCCACUAGGUGGCGGUGGAUACACACUUCUGAGGAGGUACGCACCUGCGAGACUAGGCAAUUGCGGUCUCUGAAGGUUCUGGGUCUUACUUUGGAAGGUAUCUGUAUUGAUUAUGUUUGUGCUCAGCUGUGAGGAGCAGAGAGAAAAAAUAGAGCAAGAAGCUACUGAGAGGAGAACCCUGAGAAGACACUCACCUUAUGGAGAAGCUUCACUGCCAUCUCUAAUGCUCUCCAGAGCUCAGCCAAGGAUAACUCCAUCUGCCCAGGGGCUGGAGCAACUUGCUGCUGUCUCCAUUCAUGGUGAAGAAGGAAACUGAUCUCAGGGAGAUGCUUAUGAAAAAUUCCAGAAGUGACAGUGCUGUGGGAGCUGAGGGUCUCUGUCUCUCUCUCCUUCCAUCCUGCCUCCAACUUUCCCAAGGGGGCUCAGUCACUGAGGUAAAUCAUCCGACAUGGUCUCUUACUGGCAAUAAUAACAGUGGACUUUGUACACUUAGGGGCCAUAAUGAACAAAACAAUACAAGAUUAAAUCAAGCACAGGAGACAAUGAUGCAAUCAAGAGAUACAGUAAACAUGAGAUGUGUGAGGCUUCUGCUGGGCUAUAUGGUGUGCUGUUUUACAGUAAUUUUUUGCAAGUAUAAAAUGUACACUCUAAAAUAACAAUAUAAAGCAUUAUAGUAUGUAAAUACAUAAGCCAGUAAAAUAGUAAUUUGUUAUAAUUAUCAGCAUUAUGUACUACACAUAAUUGUAUGUGCCAGACGUUUAUAUUACAGUCAGCUCAGUAGAUUUGUUUACAUCAGCAUCACCACUAACACGUGAAUAAUCCAUAGCACAAUGGCAACAACGUCACUAGAUGAUAGGAAUUUUUCAGCUCCUUUAUAAUCUUAUUGGACCAUCAUUGUUUACGUGGUCUGUUAUUGACUGAAAAAUUAUUAUGCAGCCCUUGAGUGUAUAAAAUGAGAGUUAUUGACUUCCUGAUCCACUACCAAGCAACAGUAU